AUGAGGGGCCCUGACCACCAGAUUGGACAUCUUGCCAUCAGAAGUAACAGUAGGAGGUGGGAGCAGGAACAGAAUACCCAAAGGGUGAUGCCAGGCCUGGAGAGUUACCCUGGUAACCAGAUAGCACUUGGGUCAUGUAGCAGUGAUCUGCUGGUUCAAGAGCCACACUUGAGGAACCACUGCGGUAAAAGCGACUGCACCGACCAGCGUCUCCUUCAGGACUGCAGGAUUUACCACCUCUGCAUAACCUCAGCUGUGCAGAGCCAAUCUUGCCAAGGUCACGACCUCACCCUGGCGGGUCACCUGGAUCUAAUGAUUGGUUGAUGCUGAACUAAGGUGAUGGGUCUGCUGGUUGCAAUUUCUCAGCUUUGCCUGAGGUUGCAUCACAACUCCAGUUCUCCCUCUGCCGGGUCCUGUCUGCUUCCCUUUGUUCUUUGGUGUUAAUUCCAGACCAUUUCCCAGUAUAUCUCCUGUGAGAGAAUCCACCUCCGACUCUGCUUCUCAGGGAUGUGCAACACUUGGAGUAGAGUCACUUAAACAUCACCUCUUGGUGAGACCACUCCUGACCAUUCCAUGCCCUCCCCUCUUCCUUACUGAUUGGUUGUCUUUGUCGAAUUCACUACUCUGACACUCUCGUUAAGAGACCUAAUGCUUUGACUAUCUUCUCCUCUAGACUCUAAGCUCUGUAAAGGCAGGGACCCAUCUUUUUGUUCACUGUAUCAUCUUCAGGGACUUGCUCAGGACAGGCAAUUGGUAUUUCUGGGACCAUUUUACUGAAGGAUUUCAUAUUCAACACCUUCUACUGGAGUUCUGAGGCUCCAGCUCAGCACAUUCAGGAGACUGAAAUUCUUGGGAGAGGAGACUGGGAUUCCUGUUCCAAAGGGAGAGAACUCAGCUAUGCUAUUACGCAUGCUCUGAGAAGAGGAUGUCUUCUCCAGUGGUGCAGUGGUAAAGAAUCUGCCUGCCAAUACAGGAGAUAUAGGAGACUUGGGUUCGAUCCUGGGUUGGGAAGAUACCCUGGAGGAGAAAACGGCAACCCAUUCCAGUAUUCUUGCCUGGAAAAUUCCAUGAACAGAGGAGCUUGGGGGCUAUAGUCCAUGGGGUCGCAAAGAGUCAGAUACGACUAUGCACAUACAUGUAUGCACUAUGAUGCUUUGAGAAGAGCAUCUCAAUCUUCCUAGAAUACAACUGCUUUUUCCUUUCCUGGGGAGUUAUUUUAAGAUGGCAGAUGUUGGUGACUCUCUGCCCCACUUCCUCCCUGCAACCCAGCAUCCCUCCAGCAGGCCCACUCCUCAGCUUUGAGGCGGGCUCCUCUUGGUGAUCUGUGGCCAGGAACUGUCACCCACAGGCACUGAACACUUCCUGGUCCACUCAGUGCUGAGUGAGAUCUGAAGGAGGCAACAAAGGAGCCCUUUGAUCAGACACUGAAAAGCAAAGGCUGCAAAAUGCUUGGAAUGCUGAACAUACUCCGUGGAGCUCUUCCUCCCGGGAGCCCAGGGUGCGGUCUCCCAGGGAGUACAGAUAACGGGAUGAGGGAGGCACCGCCCAGGGCCUGCCAAGGCAGAGAGCUCAGCAGCCCAAGGAUGAGUCAAGUGCAUCCAAACAGAAGCUGAAAAUAAGUCGGCAAAGCACUUAAAGGCAUGCUUAUCUCGUUGAAUAAUUCAGCAGGCUGGCUGACUGUGAGCUGGAAGCUGGUUCACAGUUAAUGGAAUAUUUCCUGUAAAUAUUAUUUUCUCUUCCUGUCUCAUCGUUUCAUCCAGUUCAAAAAUCUUUACUAAUCUGGGGUGGUGACAAGCAAUGCAUCAGUUCUCUGAGCUAAUGCUCCCGAUUCUGAAAUGCUCAGAGGAACCAUAGGAAGCUGCAUUGGCUGCUCUGGGGAGAAGGGCAGAACAUUUACUCUGGUUCCUUCUCCUAAUGUCUCAGAGGAGCCCUCUGCGCUCCUAAUUGUGCAUCUAAGUGAACAUAAGAGCGCCUAAUUGCACAUCAAAUAAAUAAGUAAAUGUUGUCUGCUGAAUACGUAAUAAGGACCAGCGCUGUCAUCCUCCCCCACGGAGAGAUUUCAUUAAAUAUGGGCUGGUGAGGGGCUGCAGCAAUCAGUGAUGAUUUACAGAUAUUGAAUAUUGCUUCUAAGGUUUCUUUGGAGCCACGUGUUUCACACUGUUCUUUUUAAUGCAUAUAGCGUCUGAUAAAGCCUGAUGGACGGAUCUUUAUUCUGACUCUUCCUGGCCCCAUUCAGAAAGCAUUUUCUGUUGUAAAUGAUAAUGUUUUCUGAUGAUUCAAUGGCUGGGCUCACCACAGGAUUGGGGAGUGCAGACUACAGCCAGAGGACAGAGCACACAGUGCCGGGUCCAGCCCGGCUGAUCCAGGGUAUUUGAAGGAGAGACGGCAUAGGCGACCUAUUUAUUUAAAUAUUUUAUCAAAGAUAUAAAGAGUAAUAGGAUGAGGAUAGCUCAGUGAGGAAAUUCAGUGGAGAAAAGAGGCUGAAUAAUUCAGCCAGAAGGUAAGAGAAAGAACGACAUGGUGAGACCAAGUUUCGUGAACAAGGCCCGCACUUUAUUUUCCAAAGUAGUUUUAUACCUUAAGUUAUGCAUAGAGGAUAAUGGGGAAGGGGUAGAGUCAUGCAGCAACACAGCUCAGCUUGGUGCUGGUGGGAACUGAGUCUCGAGCGUGGGAGAAGUGAAUCACCUGAAACCUUUGGCCCCAGUGCUCCCAAGAAGAGGCAGAUUGUCCCAGAGAUCAGAGCUUUCAGAAUUUUUCAGGCUCUGAUCUAUGAGUGCAAGGUCCUCCUCAAAAGAGGGAGCCCUUUGUGAUCGACUUUACCCAGCUUUAUUUAUCUCUGCCCCAUGUGAUCCUGGUUCCACAGGAGUUAACAAACAAUGUAUUUUCUGUAUAGAUCAUUUAAUUUUCAUUCAAAUGUUCUCAGCGAAGUAGAAACACUCUUGCUUGUACCAACACAGCUGCCUGAGACUGACAUGCCAGCUGAUUCGCGGCAUGUCCCCACUGAUGGUCACUUAAUGUAGUGGCAUUUACUCCUGUUUGAUGCUUCUGUGUCUUUCCUUGGCCAUAAAUAUAACCCAAGAUGAAGUUUGAUCUUUUACUGAGUGUCCAAGCGCCCUUGAACUGACAAGUUCAACUGAUAAUGUUUCAUGAUUCCCUGAAGUCAACCGACAGUUAUUUAGUCACUAAG
rnacentral:lncRNA from 1 species